CCUACGGGUCGCAGCAGUAAGGAAUAUUGGUCAAUGGGCGGAAGCCUGAACCAGCCAUGCCGCGUGCAGGAAGACGGCCUACGGGUUGUAAACUGCUUUUGUACCAGAAUAUGUAUGGUAAGAAUAAGGAUCGGCUAACUCCGUGCCAGCAGCCGCGGUAAUACGGAGGAUCCAAGCGUUAUCCGGAUUUAUUGGGUUUAAAGGGUGCGUAGGUGGCUUUUUAAGUCAGGGGUGAAAGACGGUAGCUUAACUAUCGCAGUGCCCUUGAUACUGAAGAGCUUGAAUGAACUAGAGGUAGGCGGAAUGUGACAAGUAGCGGUGAAAUGCAUAGAUAUGUCACAGAACACCAAUUGCGAAGGCAGCUUACUAUGGUUUAUUGACACUGAGGCACGAAAGCGUGGGGAUCAAACAGGAUUAGAUACCCCAGUAGUC
rnacentral:rRNA from 1 species